AGUGAACGCUGGCGGUAGGCCUAACACAUGCAAGUCGAACGGCAGCACAGUAAGAGCUUGCUCUUACGGGUGGCGAGUGGCGGACGGGUGAGGAAUACAUCGGAAUCUACUUUUUCGUGGGGGAUAACGUAGGGAAACUUACGCUAAUACCGCAUACGACCUACGGGUGAAAGCAGGGGAUCUUCGGACCUUGCGCGAUUGAAUGAGCCGAUGUCGGAUUAGCUAGUUGGCGAGGUAACGGCCCACCAAGGCGACGAUCCGUAGCUGGUCUGAGAGGAUGAUCAGCCACACUGGAACUGAGACACGGUCCAGACUCCUACGGGAGGCAGCAGUGGGGAAUAUUGGACAAUGGGCGCAAGCUUGACCCAGCCAUGCCGCGUGAGUGAAGAAGGCCUUCGGGUUGUAAAGCUCUUUUGUUGGGAAAGAAAAGCAGCAGGUUAAUACCCCGCUGUUCUGACGGUACCCAAAGAAUAAGCACCGGCUAACUUCGUG
rnacentral:rRNA from 1 species